AGAACUGGUGACAGCAAGAGACUUGAACUAGCUGGAUACCUCCUCAGAGAAGAAUUUGGGACACUAUCCAGGUGACAGUGGUCAUUAAGUAAUGAUUUGAAGAGGGAAGGGAACUCCCAGUCUGAAUGUAAAAUCCCACCAUGCCAGAUCUAGGAAUGAAUACGCUACAGAAUGUUUGCAGUGUGUUAAAGAAAUAGUAGGGCCACAAACAGACCAUCCCAGUAAGAAAGAAGGGAAGCUGGUGAGAGAAAGCCGUGGCUGAAUCUAAACCAUCUUGAUGACUUGUAUCUCUUACAAAAAGAUGUACAAGAGCUGCGAGCACUUUAGAAGACAGAAUUGAACAAAUCCUGACAAGUUGAAACAGAGUUCUGAAGUAAAUAGAAUGUAGUUCUGUAAGGUGAGAAGCUUACACAGUGCUGGGAAUAAUUGAAUAAAAAAAUGUGAGCUGGAGACAAACUGGUUAAGCAGAUACUUCAUUAAAAGAAGACUUCUUUCAUAGCAGUUCACAAAAGAAAAUGAGUCAAUAGAGAUUUGGUGUAAGAAAAUGUGAUUACUGAAAUAUAGAAAAGAUUGUCAGGCAUGAGAAAAGCAAAGUAAUGUUUCUACUCCACUGGAGUUCCAAAUGGCUUCUGAGGAAGAAAACUUCUCAGUUUUGGGCACCUCCUUUCAAUUACAGAGAGUUCUGUGGAGAACACGAAGAGCUACCAGAAGUGUGGAGAACUUCACCCACUGAGUGUGACUGAUAGAAGUUCAGUUGGACACCUGAAAAGUCUGCAAGGACAUAUGAACGUACAGCCUAAACAGUACGAGAGUUUGACGUAAAGAAAGUAGUCUGUAUAUGAGAAAAGUGAAUACACACACCAGCCCGUCUGUUUGGCAAACAAAAUACAUAAUAAUCUCUCAGGCAAAGGCACUGAAUGUUAUUAUGAGCCUUUCUUGUUUAGUAUCCUCAAACUCACAGUACCCCUUGAGGUGCAGUGAAAGUCCUGAGGACACAGAGCAUCCAUAUGCUAAGGAAAAAUAGUGUGGAUUCUUACCUUGGCGGACAAAAGUCUGCGAAGGUAAAAAAUAAAAGUAAAAAUCAAUGCCAGGCCUCUCCUGCAUUAUCCACUAUGGGGAGCUGAAGG
ensembl:lncRNA